AGGGACUGCCGGAUCUUGGGCUGUGUCCCCAGCGCCCUGUGCUCCAGGGCCUCUGCUGUUGGAAUCCUGGUCCCAGCUGUGCAUCUUCCU
rnacentral:pre_miRNA from 1 species